rnacentral:pre_miRNA from 1 species
ACAACAUUCGUACCUUCGGUCUACCGAGAAAUAUCACCCGCUCGGUGAAAGAUAUUCCCUUUGUUGU